ensembl:snRNA U6 U6 spliceosomal RNA
GUGCUUGCUUUGGCAACACAUAUACUAAAACUGAGACGAUACAGAGAAGUUUAACAUGGUCCCUGCACAAGGAUGACACGAAAAUUAAUGAAGGGCUCCAAUUUUAU